rnacentral:misc_RNA from 1 species
AACUAAUAAGUUCUACAUCGA